GGAGAGUUUGAUCCUGGCUCAGGAUGAACGCUGGCGGCAGGCUUAAUACAUGCAAGUUGAACGGUAACAUGUUGUAGCAAUACGAUGAUGACGAGUGGCGCACGGGUGCGUAACACGUGUGUAACCUACCUUAUACAGGAACAUAACGUUGAGAAAUCGGCGCUAACAUUCCAUAAUAUUAUUUGUAGGCAUCUAUGAAUAAUUAAAACUCCGGUGGUAUAAGAUGGGCACGCGUUCCAUUAGCUAGUUGGUAAGGUAACGGCUUACCAAGGCAACGAUGGAUAGGGGUUCUGAGAGGAUAAUCCCCCACACUGGAACUGAGACACGGUCCAGACUCCUACGGGAGGCAGCAGUAAGGAAUAUUGGGCAAUGGAGGCAACUCUGACCCAGCCAUGCCGCGUGCAGGAAGACGGCCCUAUGGGUUGUAAACUGCUUUUAAUAGGGAUUAAAGUCAACUACGUGUAGUUGUUUGCAAGUACCUAUAGAAUAAGCAUCGGCUAACUCCGUGCCAGCAGCCGCGGUAAUACGGAGGAUGCAAGCGUUAUCCGGAUUUAUUGGGUUUAAAGGGUGCGCAGGCGGACUAAUAAGUCAGUGGUGAAAUUUACAUGCUUAACAUGUGACGUGCCAUUGAUACUGUUAGACUAGUAUACAAAUGACGUAGCUGGAAUGUGUUAUGUAGCGGUGAAAUGCAUAGAUAUAACACAGAACACCGAUCGUGAAGACAGGUUACGAAUUUGUGAUAGACGCUCAUGCACGAAAGCGUGGGGAUCAAACAGGAUUAGAUACCCUGGUAGUCCACGCUGUAAACGAUGAUAACUUGUUGUUGGGCACAUAGUGCUCAGUGGCUAAGCGAAAGCGAUAAGUUAUCCACCUGGGGAGUACGAUCGCAAGGUUGAAACUCAAAGGAAUUGACGGGGGCCCGCACAAGCGGUGGAGCAUGUGGUUUAAUUCGAUGAUACGCGAGGAACCUUACCCGGGCUCGAACGUAUGUUGAAUAAUGUGGAAACAUGUUAGUCGUAAGACAACAUACGAGGUGCUGCAUGGUUGUCGUCAGCUCGUGCCGUGAGGUGUCAGGUUAAGUCCUAUAACGAGCGCAACCCCUACUUUCAGUUGCCAGCACGUAAUGGUGGGGACUCUGGAGGAACUGCCUACGCAAGUAGAGAGGAAGGUGGGGAUGACGUCAAAUCAGCACGGCCCUUAUGUUCGGGGCUACACACGUGCUACAAUGGUCGAUACAGAGGGCAGCUACUUGGCGACAAGAUGCGAAUCUCGAAAGUCGAUCUCAGUUCGGAUCGGAGGCUGUAACUCGCCUCCGUGAAGUUGGAUUCGCUAGUAAUCGCGCAUCAGCCAUGGCGCGGUGAAUACGUUCCCGGGCCUUGUACACACCGCCCGUCAAGCCAUGAAAGCCGGGGGUACCUAAAGAAUGUAACCGCAAGGAGCGUUUUAGGGUAAACUUGGUAAUUGGGGCUAAGUCGUAACAAGGUAGCCGUACCGGAAGGUGUGGCUG
rnacentral:rRNA from 1 species